UUAAGGCACAUGAAACCCUACAAAUUCAUUUUAUUUUAACUUCAAGGGACCAAAGAAAUCCAUAAAUUUACCUUAUAAAAAUCAUAGCAAUUUCUUGUGUAAAAUAAUCAUAAGGCAUCCUUAUGAAUAAUUCUUGUUCAUUCAAACGUUCACGCUGAUCUGUCAGAAAAAAAUGGCUCGCUUCAUCCUUGCCCAUGUGGCCCAAUAAGGAAGUAGCUGAAAUUAAGUUUUUCUCUUUAAGAAUACGUCGAACGAACAUCAACCAUCUAUAUAUUGUGCUGCAGAAAUACGAGAUCCAUUGUGCUGUUCUUCCUGGUCAGGCCAAUGUUUUUCCAUGGAAAACGCCAUUAUUCAAAACACGAUCAACUGUACAAAGUGAUCAGAACAUUACCCCUCGUGAAAUGGAGUCCAAUAUCUGGAAGUAAAUGGACCGAAUCUUUUUAACCGCUGCACCCAAAAGUCAGCAAAGCACGAUGCCUCUUCCCACGGAGCACAGCAUACUGCAGGACAGCCACUUUUAACAGACUUUGGAGAGAAAAAAAGUCCAGGCAGAGCAACAGCGGAGACAGCAAUAGUGAUCAAAAUAAAUAUCGUCGCUACUCAUCGUUCAAUAUGUUCAAAAAGCAGGAAGCUUGUCAUCCUUGAACGACGUAUCAUCUAACUAGGAAUUAAGAAGAAAUUCUGGCAUGCGAUUCGAAUUCCAAUUCGAGAGCAAACGAGUGUAAAUUUAAUUUAUAGAGGAAAGAGGGGCAAGAUCGCCAUAUGGGGCAAGACAGCCAACGUUGAUUAUGAUUUAAGUGAGCAAUAUAUUCACAUUAUUAUUACGAGGGAUGGUUAACAAUAAUGUAAAAGGGCUAUUCAACUGAAAAAUGCACUUUGACAACCUUACUUGUUCUUGAAAUAUUGAUUAAGAUGAUGUAGUUGAAAUUCGAAUUUUCUUAUAAUUUUGUAGAUACACAACUCAAGGUUUGAAGCUAAAAUUACUAUUUUUUCAGCACAAAUUAAUAUUUACCAAAGCUCUUAUAUAACUAUAGGUUAUCUACAAUAAUAAUUUAAGAAGAUUAACAGUAAUUAUGAUCGAUAGGACUAAAAUCUUUGGGCGGUAUUGCAAACUAUAUUAAGAACAUGAAACAUACUGUACAUUAUAGUGAUCAAACUCGCAACUCGUACCAAAAUGUAAUAAUAUGCAAUCAAUUAUAUGAUAUGUAAUCCAAUAGAUACCGUAAAAAAAACAAACUUAUUAUCUAAGAAUCCAAUUCAAUUAUUCAACAACUAUUUAUUAUUUUAUCUUACUAUUUUUGUUUAUUUUUCCUAACUUAGCCCAAUACAACUUCAAUUUAUUAAUAAUUCUAAAUUCUCGGCCCCACGUUGGGCGCCAAAAUGAAACCUUUCCCCGUGUCCGUUGGUUCAACCAACGGUCGUUUCUAUCAAAUCAACACAAGUUAGGCAGCGAAAGAGGACAGGUUAUCAAUUCCUGUGACUUAAGCGCCACUCUUCGGAAAGAGGCCACAGGAACAGUUUAGUCCGGCCAGAGACUUCUCCUCAGGGCAGGUUUGGUAUUUCCCAGUCUCACUCGAACUUACCUUAAUUGAAGCUGUAGAAAGAAACUUAAAAUCUAACGGGCUUGCGUCUUAAAUAUCUCAAACGGAUCUGCUCGAACGAUCUCAUUAAAGUUUGGUGCAGUCGGUAUUAAAUUCAAAAAUUCUAGCAGUUGGAGAGCACGCCAAUUAAUUAGUAUUUAUUUUGCAAUCUAAUCUAAGUGUAUAUACAAAUCCAAAAGAUUCCAAAUUUAUUUAAUAAUUUAUUUCCUAUCAACAGGAAAUGGACGAACGCGAAGCAAAACUGUGAGCUUCCGUCGACUGAAUCUAUUUGGCGCCAAAUCUACUGCUAGAUUACAAUUUUAAUUUCGAGCUCUUUCAAUUUCUUCGUGCACUAGCUUACGGUUUUGGGUUCCUUCCUCCAGGAUGAGCGAAGCGAAGGCAGAAUGUCGACGGUUCCUGGAUCCGACCCACGUGUCCAACUUCGUCAGAAUGGCCGCACCGCGUGGCUUAUCGCACAAUGGAAUCAGCCACUCACGAGGUGGAUUUGUCCUCGGACCGAUACUGGUGGAUGCUAAGCGGCUUGCCAACCGACGGAAUCCAAUUGUCUGGCCGGAUCGUAGGGUCCCAAAUAACCACCCACUUUGGGAUGGGGUUUAACCUACCCAAAGUGCACUUUCAUUAUUCUGUUCGCACAUCAUUUCAACUCAGUCACAUGUGCUUACCUGAUUCAAUCUCCGAAGGCUCACAACAGGCACUUUCAAACGUAAAAAUGUAUUUAGGAACCGAAACGCGAUAAACCUAAAUUGGGAAAUUUUUAGAAAUUGCGUAUACACUUAUUUAAAUCAUUUGAC